AAUCAACGCUGGCGGCGUGCCUCAGACAUGCAAGUCGAACGAUUAAGACUCUCUUCGGAGAGUGCAUAAAGUGGCGCACGGGUGAGUAACACGUAAGUAAUCUACCUUUGGGUGGGGAAUAACAGUCGGAAACGACUGCUAAUACCGCAUAAUGCAGCGGCUCCUUAUGGAGACAGUUGUUAAAGAUUUAUCGCCUAAGAGGA
rnacentral:rRNA from 1 species